GAUAGGCAAACCCGUAGGAAUAAUGCUAGGAUGUGAUGCGGAGCGAAAUUUAGUAGCGAAGUAGCUGAUUUCACACUGUCGAGAAAAGUCUCUAUCGAGGUUAAAGGUGCCUGUACCGCAAACCAACACAGGUGGGUGAGGAGAGUAUCCUAAGGCCAGCCAGAGAACUGUUGUUAAGGAACUCGGCAAAAUGACCCCGUAACUUCGGGAGAAGGGGUGCCUGUCUAUGACAGGCCGCAGAGAAUAGGCCCAAGCGACUGUUUACCAAAAACACAGGUUUCUGCUAAGUCGCAAGACGAUGUAUAGGAGCUGACGCCUGCCCGGUGCUGGAAGGUUAAGGGGAUCUGUUAGAGCAAUCGAAGCAGUGAACUUAAGCCCCAGUAAACGGCGGCCGUAACUAUAACGGUCCUAAGGUAGCGAAAUUCCUUGUCGGGUAAGUUCCGACCCGCACGAAAGGCGUAACGAUUUGGGCACUGUCUCAACAACAGACUGGGUAAAAUUGUAAUACCGGUGAAGAUGCCGGUUACCUGCGACAGGACGGAAAGACCCCAUGGAGCUUUACUGUAGCUUGACAUUGGGUCUUGGUACUACAUGUACAGGAUAGGUGGGAGACUAUGAAGCCGGAACGCCAGUUUCGGUGGAGCAUCCUUGGGAUACCACCCUUGUAGUACUGGGACUCUAACCAUAGGCCAUGAAUCUGGUCUUGGGACACUGUCAGGUGGGCAGUUUGACUGGGGCGGUCGCCUCCUAAAAAGUAACGGAGGCGCUCAAAGGUUCUCUCAGUACGGUCGGAAAUCGUACGUAGAGUGUAAAGGCACAAGAGAGCUUGAUUGCAAGACAUACAGGUCGAGCAAGGACGAAAGUCGGACUUAGUGAUCCGGUGGUUCCGCAUGGAAGGGCCAUCGCUCAACGGAUAAAAGCUACCCUGGGGAUAACAGGCUUAUCUCCCCCAAGAGUCCACAUCGACGGGGAGGUUUGGCACCUCGAUGUCGGCUCAUCACAUCCUGGGGCUGUAGUAGGUCCCAAGGGUUGGGCUGUUCGCCCAUUAAAGUGGUACGCGAGCUGGGUUCAGAACGUCGUGAGACAGUUCGGUCCCCAUCCGUCGCAGGCGUAGGAAAUUUGAGGAGACCUGUCCUUAGUACGAGAGGACCGGGAUGGACGCACCGCUGGUGUACCAGUUGUUCUGCCAAGGGCAUAGCUGGGUAGCUAAGUGCGGAAUGGAUAAGCGCUGAAAGCAUCUAAGCGCGAAGCCGACUUCAAGAUAAGAUUUCCCACCGUAAGGGUAAGACCCCAGGAAGACUACCUGGUUGAUAGGUCGGAGGUGGAAGUGCAGUAAUGUAUGUAGCUUACCGAUACUAAUAGGUCGAGGACUUGAUC
rnacentral:rRNA from 1 species